GACAGCAGCAGCCACGGGAAAACGUAGGUGGCAAGCGUUGUCCGGAAUUAUUGGGCGUAAAGCGCGCGCAGGCGGAUCGGUCAGUCUGUCUUAAAAGUUCGGGGCUUAACCCCGUGAUGGGAUGGAAACUGCCAAUCUAGAGUAUCGGAGAGGAAAGUGGAAUUCCUAGUGUAGCGGUGAAAUGCGUAGAUAUUAGGAAGAACACCAGUGGCGAAGGCGACUUUCUGGACGAAAACUGACGCUGAGGCGCGAAAGCCAGGGGAGCGAACGGGAUUAGAUACCCGCGUAGUCCCUGUCUCUUAUACA
rnacentral:rRNA from 1 species